rnacentral:lncRNA from 1 species
GGUCUUGGUUCUGUUAUAGAUUGUACCUUAUUCUAGUGGGCCUUCUGACUAUUGGGUCAGAUUUUGAACUGGGUUUGGAGUGGGGUGAAACCCACCUCCAACAGUAGCACCUUUGGAGUCCGGCGCGUUUCAAGUUGUCAGCCAGUUCGUGUCUUAAUUCUGAUCUGGGUGGCGUAUUUGUCACAUUGGUUUAUGAUUUUCAAGAUCCUG